CCCCUCUCAGGGUCGCACCUGGAGAGUUUCCAGUACUCUCCCAGUCUCGAAUGGGAGAGGGAGAGUCAAGCAGAGGCCUACCCGUUCCGUUCCUAGCUUGGCCAGUGGCUAGCGAGUGGCAGGCCAUCGGCAACAAGU